rnacentral:lncRNA from 1 species
CAGCAGCUGCCAGCCUACACCACAGCCACAGCAACACAGGAUGUGAGCCACGUCUGUAACCAAUGCCAUAGCUCUCAGCAACUUCAGAUCUCACUGAGAAAGGCCAGGGAUCCACCCGCAUCGUCAUGGAUACUAACCAGUUGGAUUCAUUUCCGCUGCACUACAACAGGAACUACUAUUUCAUAGAUUUUAUUGGUAAUUUCUUUCACUAUUGCCUAAAGCUCAGAAUCUAAAUAUCGUAGUGAUAGAUACAAAGUACCUGCGUAACACCUGGGAUUCAUUACACCUGUAACCAUAUAUGACAUUUCACUACACUAUUAAAACUGUAUUUUAAAUACAGAGUCUAAAUACAAAGUGCUUUUAUAUAUUCCAAAAUAUUUUUCUCCAUGGCACAAUGAAAACUUUGUUUUUAUCAACAUUUUAUGAUAGAUCGUUUUAAAAGCCACAUAUUCUAUCACAAAAGCAAAACAUUUGAAAACAACUGCCAUAUUUCAACUUUAUAAUCUUUGUAAAACUAGAUGCUUAUUUGGGUCAGAAAAUUGUGUCACUUUUGCUGAUCACCCAGCAAAAACCUGUCAAGUGACUUUCAGGUUUAUAUAAUCUAAUGCCAUUAUAAGCAAUUACAAGGCCUAAUGGACGCUGGCUGUGUGUACCUCUGGCAUUGCCCUGAAUUUACAUCGUUAGUCACUUCCUGAAGUCAUGUUAGCUUUCCUUCAUCGACUGCCCUCUCGGGUUUUUAGGCCAUCAUUCUUAAGAGCAUUUCACAGAGCAAUUCAUCACCUUCCUAUGUUUUCCAGUUAAACAUAUACAUGCUUUGAUUCCUUAAAUAUGUCAUGUUUGGGCAAAACUAAUUAAUGAGUGGAGGAAAAAAAUCAGAAAUUAUUGCCUUUGAGGAUGGGAGGGUAAAGGAUGUCUGGUAAUGGACCUGAGGGAACUUUCUGGGGGGAUGAUUGUGUUCUUUGUCCUGACAGAGGCUUGGGUUAACAGGUAUGGACGUAAGUCAAAGCUCAGCAAAUGUUCACUUAAGAUCUAGCUGUGUCCGCUACAUUUCAAUUUUACCUCAAGAAGAAAAAAAACUGGCAACUAUUGCCGAAUUCUAGAUGAGGACACACAUGGAGAAGUAUUUAGGCAGAAAUGCAUCAAAAAUAACUAAGAUGGAUUAAUGGAUGAAUAGAGGGGUGAACACAUGGACAGAAACAUAACUCAAAAUGUUCACUAAAGUGAGAAGUAGGUAACCUGGUGUUCACGGUAAAAUUCUUUCAACUUCUCCAUGUUCAAAAAUUUUGAUAAUAAAAUGUUCUGCGAUUUACAAGAUCAUUUUUCACAAUCCUUUUUACUUUAAAAUUCACCCAGUAAAUUACGAGGAAUCAGGAAGUAUUCCCAAAGAUUCUGAACUAUGAUCUUUGUUGCCCACUGAUUUGAGUAUUUUAUUUUUUUAUAAAAAUCGAGCCCAAUAGUUAAGACUGGAUAAAAAUCUAGUUAAAUUAGGACACUCUUUCAAUUCAUUCCACAAAUACUCCUCAAACACCUAUGUACCAGAUUAUCUCUAAGUGUUAAAGUCAAAGGACAACCUGAUUGUAAUACGAUGUGAUUUAGACUAUGGGUUUCAGGAAUGUGUCUGGAAGGGCAUUUUCUGGAACAGGAGGGAGAAGUAAAAUUUUCCCGGAUGGAGAAAAUUCAUUCUAGUCUGUGGGAAAUUGCGUAUGUGAGCAUGUAACACAAAAACUUUAUUUUACAGGUAAGAGUAACAUGGCAGUUGCUUCAUGAAUAUAUCAAGAUAUUUAAAAUACAUGUACAUAUGUUAGAUCCUCCUUUUACUGUCUUAUAUACUGCUUUUGAAAGAUUCUGCAAUCUCUUCAGUCACCAAUAUAAUCUAAGCACCUUUUGUUUACCAUUUAACCCAAGCUUCAAGUAUUUCACUUUAAAUAAUUAAAGGUAUGACCCCAGCUGAUUUUAUUACUUCUUAAGGACUUUUUUCUAUAACAAAUUUUACCUGGUAAUCACUUCAAAAAACACUGUUCUAAAGUCAUAAAAUCCCAAGAGUCAAUACUCUAGGAUUAGAAAAGUUCCCUAGACUAGGCAGCAAAUAAAAACACAAGCACCUCAGAGUUCCCAUUGUGGUACAGCGGUAAUGAAUCCAUGAAUCCGACUAGUAUUCAUGUGGAUGUGGGUUCAAAACCUGGCCUUGCUCAGUGGGUAGGGGACCGGUGUUGCUGUGAGCUGUGGUCAACUUAGCCCACUAUAAAAUGCACAAAGGACAAAUGUCAAAGUAUUGUCCAAACUGUCUAUCGUCUAGUGAGAUAUUUUAAAUAUUUUACAUCUUCCUUUUUAAGGCAUAUGGACGGUCCCAAUUCCUUUAAUGAGCAGUUUGCCUCUUUAACCAACUCAAGCAAAAUUCUAGCACCUGUGGGUUUACAUCAAUGUGUCUUAUCAUCUGCAGAAUGUAGGUAUCACUAUAUACUCAUGUGCUUAAUGUAAGAAUUAAAUGAGAUUUAAAUGUGGUUCGUGCUUACUGUUCAAUAAAGAGUAAUUAACAAUAAAAAUGUUUAAAUGAAUACACAUAUGCAGGCAAUUGCACAGACAUGCUUUUUAACCUGGUCCAUGAGUUAAGGUGAGCCAGAAUUCAUUUUAUCUUUUCAGUUUAGUAACAAAUUCCUAAUUCUUAGUCUCACUGCAUUACUGACCACUUCAGGGUCAUGAGAGUUUUUCAUUUGCUCCCUCUCAGAUCUCAACUCCUUACUUCACUGCUCACCCAAAACUGGCACUCUUUAAGGAGUUCACUAGCAAAGACCUUAAAAUUCUUUUAUCAUUUAUCUGUUAGUGGCUGAGAAUAGAAAUAUCACUGGACCUUCACCUCAAAUAAUCCUGAAAAAAAAAUUCUAAGUGACUGAGUUGGGCUAAAGGUUCGGACUCCAGAUGCUUUGUCAUUUGUCUCAAACCAUUUUCUAUGGGUACCUUCAAAUGAUCUCCAGGCUGAAUCAGAUUUUUCUGCUGAGGGACUAUGAAAAAGUCAGGUAGGAAAGGUAUUAUUGAGAGUUCUAAAACUGAAUGCUGCAUUAUUAAAGGAGAUGAAGAUAUUCAGAAAUUCUAGGGAAAAGAGAUUUCUAGGACAAAAAAAAUUAAAUGACAAACCUGAUUUCAUCCAUUAGUACAUAAAAUAAUGGCUUACUUACUAUUUGAUAGAAAACUACUAGAAACUACUAGAAAACUAAUAGAAAAAUAUUAUCACUUGGAGUUAAAAAGAAGUGAGAAUUUGAGGUUAUACUUUGAAAGGCAAUUAAGUGACCCAAGUUAAUAAAUUUUAAACAGAAAAGGAUGUUUCUGGCAGAGCACCAGGACAGUCCAUUCAUUGAGAACAAUUUUGCAAAAUGAUCUUUACCAUUGAUCAGCUUAUUAAUCUCCAUGCUAUAUUUCUACUAGGAAAAAAGCAUUCGUCAUAUUUACCACUGAAUUAUAAAUCUAGCCCAACAUAUCAUAAAGAUUUCAAAACAGUUAAAUCUUCCUUAAUGCCCCAGAAGCAAAGACAGAGCCUCAGGCUUAGUUCUAUAGGUAAGUCCGCAACACUGACCUUUCCCUCUCAAGAAACAAGUUUCUUUUGCCGGAAUGUUAACUAUAUUCAUUUAAAAACUGGAAUGCUAUCAGUACGGAUUUGCCCUUUUUCAUUUUUUCAAGAUAUGCUCUUAAUCCAGGUGUAGGCUGUGAGCAACCACACACAGGCUGCAUGCCUCGUUUGCAAAGUCCCAUCAGAAGACUGUACACAUUUGAACCAUCAUGUUGCUUUUUUUUACUGCAACACUCAGAGUGAUUCUCUUUCUGUUCCCUGAUCUUGUAUUUCAAUCAUCAUGAAAGUAAUAGAGCAAUUAGCAAAUGAGACUCUGCCUUCCUUGUCUAUAUAAAAAAAUAGAUGCUUGGUUUCUUAUGUAAAUAAGACAUAAGGCAAUAAAAAAGUGAAUACCAAAAAUGUUAAAGGAAGGGUUUCGACAGAAUUUUUUUAAAGCAAUAAGGGCUAGGAGAAAAAUAAUAUAAAAAAAUUGAAUGUCUAAAAAUACUUAAGUGAAAUCCUAUGGUCCUAGAAAAAAAAAUCUUUAAAAAAUGAUUAAUAUGUGAAAUAAACUAAUCUAUUAUUUCAAAAAGAAACUAAACUUUUUUCUGAGUAAAAGGAGAACAAUCUUCAUUAAAAACUUUAAAAAAUACUUUGAUAGAGUACCUUUCUAAAGAAAUGGGCAGAUGCCUAAUAAUUUUAUAUUUACCCAAGAAAAUAUGUUUUUUUUUUGUUUGUUUGUUUGUUGCUGACAAUGUGCUUUAUUUUAAAACCAGAACAGAAUAAAAAGUUCAAAGGAAUACUUUCCCAAGUACAAAAAAAAAGUUGGCGAUAAAGCAAGCCACAGCUAAAACGACUAUUCCCGAA